rnacentral:rRNA from 1 species
GAUGAACGCUAGCUACAGGCUUAACACAUGCAAGUCGCGGGGCAGCAUGGGGGUUGCUUGCACUCCCCGAUGGCGACCGGCGCACGGGUGAGUAACGCGUAUCCAACCUGCCCUUCACCACGGGAUAACCCGGCGAAAGUCGGACUAAUACCGUAUGUUGUCCAUUGACGGCAUCCGAUUUGGACGAAAGGUUUGGCGGUGAAGGAUGGGGAGGCGUCCGAUUAGCUGGAGGGCGGGGUGACGGCCCACCGUGGCGACGAUCGGUAGGGGUUCUGAGAGGAAGGUCCCCGACACUGGGACUGGGACACGGUCCAGACGCGUACGGGAGGCAGCAGUGAGGAAGAAAGGGCAGUGGGCGUAAGCCUGAACCAGCGAAGUAGCGUGCAGGAGGACGGGCCUAUGGGUUGUAAACUGCUUUUAUGCGGGGAUAAGGGGGCGGACGUGUGGGUUUUUGCAGGUACCGCAUGAAUAAGGGCCGGCUAAUUCCGUG